AUGAACGCUAGCGACAGGCUUAACACAUGCAAGUCGAGGGGCAGCGGGGGUAGCAAUACCCGCCGGCGACCGGCGCACGGGUGAGUAACGCGUAUGCAACUUGCCUAUCAGAGGGGGAUAACCCGGCGAAAGUCGGACUAAUACCGCAUGAAGCAGGGGCCCCGCAUGGGGAUAUUUGCUAAAGAUUCAUCGCUGAUAGAUAGGCAUGCGUUCCAUUAGGCAGUUGGCGGGGUAACGGCCCACCAAACCGACGAUGGAUAGGGGUUCUGAGAGGAAGGUCCCCCACAUUGGUACUGAGACACGGACCAAACUCCUAAGGGAGGCAGCAGUGAGGAAUAUUGGUCAAUGGCCGAGAGGCUGAACCAGCCAAGUCGCGUGAGGGAUGAAGGUUCUAUGGAUCGUAAACCUCUUUUAUAAGGGAAUAAAGUGCGGGACGUGUCCCGUUUUGUAUGUACCUUAUGAAUAAGGAUCGGCUAACUCCGUGCCAGCAGCCGCGGUAAUACGGAGGAUCCGAGCGUUAUCCGGAUUUAUUGGGUUUAAAGGGUGCGUAGGCGGCCUUUUAAGUCAGCGGUGAAAGUCUGUGGCUCAACCAUAGAAUUGCCGUUGAAACUGGGGGGCUUGAGUAUGUUUGAGGCAGGCGGAAUGCGUGGUGUAGCGGUGAAAUGCAUAGAUAUCACGCAGAACCCCGAUUGCGAAGGCAGCCUGCCAAGCCAUUACUGACGCUGAUGCACGAAAGCGUGGGGAUCAAACAGGAUUAGAUACCCUGGUAGUCCACGCAGUAAACGAUGAUCACUAGCUGUUUGCGAUACACUGUAAGCGGCACAGCGAAAGCGUUAAGUGAUCCACCUGGGGAGUACGCCGGCAACGGUGAAACUCAAAGGAAUUGACGGGGGCCCGCACAAGCGGAGGAACAUGUGGUUUAAUUCGAUGAUACGCGAGGAACCUUACCCGGGUUUGAACGCAUUCGGACCGAGGUGGAAACACCUUUUCUAGCAAUAGCCGUUUGCGAGGUGCUGCAUGGUUGUCGUCAGCUCGUGCCGUGAGGUGUCGGCUUAAGUGCCAUAACGAGCGCAACCCUUGCCACUAGUUACUAACAGGUAAAGCUGAGGACUCUGGUGGGACUGCCAGCGUAAGCUGCGAGGAAGGCGGGGAUGACGUCAAAUCAGCACGGCCCUUACAUCCGGGGCGACACACGUGUUACAAUGGCGUGGACAAAGGGAGGCCACCUGGCGACAGGGAGCGAAUCCCCAAACCACGUCUCAGUUCGGAUCGGAGUCUGCAACCCGACUCCGUGAAGCUGGAUUCGCUAGUAAUCGCGCAUCAGCCAUGGCGCGGUGAAUACGUUCCCGGGCCUUGUACACACCGCCCGUCAAGCCAUGGGAGCCGGGGGUACCUGAAGUCCGUAACCGAAAGGAUCGGCCUAGGGUAAAACUGGUGACUGGGGCU
rnacentral:rRNA from 1 species